rnacentral:rRNA from 1 species
AUUGAACGCUGGCGGCAGGCCUAACACAUGCAAGUCGAGCGAGCGGCGGACGGGUGAGUAAUGUAUGGGGACUGCCCGAUCGAGGGGGAUAACUACUGGAACAGGUAGCUAAUACCGCAUAUUCUAGGAUAACCCCCAUGGGAUUAGCUAGUAGGUGAGGUAAUGGCUCACCUAGGCGACGAGCCCUAGCUGGUCUGAGAGGAUGAUCAGCCACACUGGGACUGAGACACGGCCCAGACUCCUACGGAGGCAGCAGUGGGGAAUAUUGCACAAUGGGCGCAAGCCUGAUGCAGCCAUGCCGCGUGUAUGAAGAAGGCCCUAGGGUUGUAAAGUACUUUCAGUCGGGAGGCGUUACCGACAGAAGAAGCACCUGCUAACUCCGUGCCAGCAGCCGCGGUAAUUC